ACCCUCCAGACUUCGUGCUCAUCAGACCUAAACACUGAUCUGAGGGGUUAUAAAAGGAGGAAAGCUGCACUUGAAACCAACUGUACCUUCUCUGUGAUACAAGUUAUCACUAAAAAAAUAAAGAUGGAUCUUGAAAUGU
rnacentral:snoRNA from 1 species